rnacentral:rRNA from 1 species
AUUGAACGCUGGCGGCAGGCCUAACACAUGCAAGUCGAACGGUAACAGGAAACAGCUUGCUGUUUCGCUGACGAGUGGCGGACGGGUGUGUAAUGUCUGGGAAACUGCCUGAUGGAGGGGGAUAACUACUGGAAACGGUAGCUAAUACCGCAUAACGUCGCAAGCCCAAAGAGGGGGACCUUCGGGCCUCUUGCCAUCGGCUGUGCCCAGGUGGGAUUAGCUAGUAGGUGGGGUAACGGCUCACCAAGGCGACGAUCCCUAGCUGAUCUGAGAGGAUGACCGGCCACACUGGAACUGAGACACGGUCCAGACUCCUACGGGAGGCAGCAGUAGGGAAUAUUGCACAAUGGGCGCAAGCCUGAUGCAGCCAUGCCGCGUGUAUGAUGAAGGCCUUCGGGUUGUAAAGUACUUUCAGCAGGGAGGAAGGGAGUAAAAUUAAUACCUGCACACAUUGACGUUACCCACAGAAGAAGCACCGGCUAACUCCGUG